rnacentral:rRNA from 2 species
UGGCUCAGGACGAACGCUGGCGGCGUGCCUAAUACAUGCAAGUCGAACGAACUCUGGUAUUGAUUGGUGCUUGCAUCAUGAUUUACAUUUGAGUGAGUGGCGAACUGGUGAGUAACACGUGGGAAACCUGCCCAGAAGCGGGGGAUAACACCUGGAAACAGAUGCUAAUACCGCAUAACAACUUGGACCGCAUGGUCCGAGUUUGAAAGAUGGCUUCGGCUAUCACUUUUGGAUGGUCCCGCGGCGUAUUAGCUAGAUGGUGGGGUAACGGCUCACCAUGGCAAUGAUACGUAGCCGACCUGAGAGGGUAAUCGGCCACAUUGGGACUGAGACACGGCCCAAACUCCUACGGGAGGCAGCAGUAGGGAAUCUUCCACAAUGGACGAAAGUCUGAUGGAGCAACGCCGCGUGAGUGAAGAAGGGUUUCGGCUCGUAAAACUCUGUUGUUAAAGAAGAACAUAUCUGAGAGUAACUGUUCAGGUAUUGACGGUAUUUAACCAGAAAGCCACGGCUAACUACGUGCCAGCAGCCGCGGUAAUACGUAGGUGGCAAGCGUUGUCCGGAUUUAUUGGGCGUAAAGCGAGCGCAGGCGGUUUUUUAAGUCUGAUGUGAAAGCCUUCGGCUCAACCGAAGAAGUGCAUCGGAAACUGGGAAACUUGAGUGCAGAAGAGGACAGUGGAACUCCAUGUGUAGCGGUGAAAUGCGUAGAUAUAUGGAAGAACACCAGUGGCGAAGGCGGCUGUCUGGUCUGUAACUGACGCUGAGGCUCGAAAGUAUGGGUAGCAAACAGGAUUAGAUACCCUGGUAGUCCAUACCGUAAACGAUGAAUGCUAAGUGUUGGAGGGUUUCCGCCCUUCAGUGCUGCAGCUAACGCAUUAAGCAUUCCGCCUGGGGAGUACGGCCGCAAGGCUGAAACUCAAAGGAAUUGACGGGGGCCCGCACAAGCGGUGGAGCAUGUGGUUUAAUUCGAAGCUACGCGAAGAACCUUACCAGGUCUUGACAUACUAUGCAAAUCUAAGAGAUUAGACGUUCCCUUCGGGGACAUGGAUACAGGUGGUGCAUGGUUGUCGUCAGCUCGUGUCGUGAGAUGUUGGGUUAAGUCCCGCAACGAGCGCAACCCUUAUUAUCAGUUGCCAGCAUUAAGUUGGGCACUCUGGUGAGACUGCCGGUGACAAACCGGAGGAAGGUGGGGAUGACGUCAAAUCAUCAUGCCCCUUAUGACCUGGGCUACACACGUGCUACAAUGGAUGGUACAACGAGUUGCGAACUCGCGAGAGUAAGCUAAUCUCUUAAAGCCAUUCUCAGUUCGGAUUGUAGGCUGCAACUCGCCUACAUGAAGUCGGAAUCGCUAGUAAUCGCGGAUCAGCAUGCCGCGGUGAAUACGUUCCCGGGCCUUGUACACACCGCCCGUCACACCAUGAGAGUUUGUAACACCCAAAGUCGGUGGGGUAACCUUUUAGGAACCAGCCGCCUAAGG